UACGGGGGAUGCAAGCGUUAUCCGGAAUUAUUGGGCGUAAAGGGCCUACAGGUUGUCUAUUAAGUUUAUAGUUAAAGACUAAGGCUUAACCUUAGAAAAGCUAUAAAGACUAGUAAACUAGAGGAUGGGAGGGGUAGAGGGAAUUUCUAGUGUAGCGGUGAUAUGCUUUGAUAUUAGAAGGAACGCCGGAGGCGAAGGCGCUCUACUGGAACAUUACUGACACUAAAGGGCGAAAGCUAGGGGAGCGAAAGGG
rnacentral:rRNA from 1 species